rnacentral:lncRNA from 1 species
CCCUAUUUUUUUACCAUUUUUUUUCAAAUUUUGGGCUCUAGUUUCAGAUUUUUGAACAUAGCGCCCUUCGAUACCUUGCGCAAAAGAAGCGCCUGUUUCUCCUCUACAAGACCUAUAUAGUCAUACCCCGUGACACCCUUCAUUAUUUUUAUCUAGAAGCCCUGGAAUAGGCCGACCCCCCUGUUUUUUACCAUUUUUUUUUCAAAUUUUGAGCU